rnacentral:ribozyme from 16 species
GGCCUGCAAGGCCAGAGCCAGAACGUCGGCGAAAAAAUCAAGGACGCCGUUGGACAAAUCAAGGAGAAAGUAAAGGUCGGGUGGGAAGGAAACAACGGAAAUGGGAACGGGAACGGGAACGGAAACGGCAAUGGAAGCAACUCCAAAUUCUUCCA